CCUACGGGAGGCAGCAGUGAGGAAUAUUGGUCAAUGGCCGAGAGGCUGAACCAGCCAAGUCGCGUGAGGGAUGACGGCCCUACGGGUUGUAAACCUCUUUUGUCGGGGAGCAAAGAGAGGCACGUGUGGCCCAAUGAGAGUACCCGAAGAAAAAGCAUCGGCUAACUCCGUGCCAGCAGCCGCGGUAAUACGGAGGAUGCGAGCGUUAUCCGGAUUUAUUGGGUUUAAAGGGUGCGCAGGCGGAGGUGCAAGUCAGUGGUCAAAGUGCGGGGCUCAACCCCGUACUGCCGUUGAAACUGCAGCCCUGGAGUGGGCGAGAAGUAUGCGGAAUGCGUGGUGUAGCGGUGAAAUGCAUAGAUAUCACGCAGAACUCCGAUUGCGAAGGCAGCAUACCGGCGCGCAACUGACGCUCAUGCACGAAAGCGUGGGUAUCGAACAGGAUUAGAUACCCGGGUAGUC
rnacentral:rRNA from 1 species